rnacentral:rRNA from 1 species
UGAAUACGAGACGCUAAGGCGUCGAAGUAGUGUAUGUCAUACUUCCAAGAAAAGCUUGCACUGUCAUAGAUAAAAAACGCCUGUACCAUAACCGACACAGGUGGGUAGGUAGAGUAUACUAAGGGGCGCGAGAUAACUCUCUCUAAGGAACUCGGCAAAAUAACUCCGUAACUUCGGGAGAAGGAGUGCCUUAUUCGUAAGGUUGCAAUAACAAGAUCCAAGCAACUGUUUAUCAAAAACACAGGUCUCCGCUAAGUCGUAAGACGAUGUAUGGGGGCUGACGCCUGCCCAGUGCCAGAAGGUUAAAGAAGUUGGUUAGCAAUUGCGAAGCUGAUAACUGAAGCCCUGGUGAACGGCGGCCGUAACAAUAACGGUCCUAAGGUAGCGAAAUUCCUUGUCGGGUAAGUUCCGACCCGCACGAAAGGCGUAAUGAUUUGGAUACUGUCUCGGAGAGGGGCUCGGUGAAAUAGACUUGUCUGUGAAGAUGCGGACUACCUGCACCAGGACAGAAAGACCCUAUGAAGCUUUACUGUAACUUGAAAUUGAAAUUGGACUUUAUUCGCGCAGUAUAGGUGGGAGGCGUUGAUUAUAAUCUUGUGGGAUUAUUGGAGCCGUCAGUGAGAUACCACUCUUGUAAUGUUAGAUUUCUAACUUUGAAUCAUUAUCUGGUCAAAGAACAGUUUCAGGCGGGCAGUUUGACUGGGGCGGUCGCCUCCUAAACGGUAACGGAGGCGUACAAAGGUUUCCUCUGAACGGUUAGAAAUCGUAUCUAGAGUGUAAAGGCAUAAGGAAGCUUGACUGUGAGACCUACAAGUCGAGCAGGGACGAAAGUCGGUCUUAGUGAUCUGACGGUACUGAGUGGAAAGGCCGUCACUCAACGGAUAAAAGUUACUCUAGGAUAACAGGCUGAUCUCCCCCAAGAGUUCACAUCGACGGGGAGGUUUGGCACCUCGAUGUCGGCUCAUCGCAUCCUGGGGCGGUAGUACGUCCCAAGGGUUGGGCUGUUCGCCCAUGAAAGCGGUACGCGAGCUGGGUUCAGAACGUCGUGAGACAGUUCGGUCCAUAUCCGGUGUAGGCGUUAGAAUAUUGAGAGGAGCCUUCUUUAGUACGAGAGGACCGAGAAGGACAUACCUCUGGUGUACCAGUUAUCGUGCCAACGGUAAACGCUGGGUAGCUAUGUCUGGAGUGGAUGACCGCUGAAAGCAUCUAAGUGGGAAGCCCACCUCAAGAUAAGUAUUCUCAUCAC